rnacentral:lncRNA from 1 species
ACAUGUAGAAUUUUAUUUAUUUGAUUAUAUUUUUAUUGUUAUUAAAGUCUAUAUAUUUAGAUCUUUAUUAAAAUCAACUCUCAUCUCUCCUCCUCUACUUUAUUUGUCUUCUCUCUUCUUAAAUGAGAGGCAAAGUAAUUUUGAAGGUUCUGUUGUUCUACAGACAACUAAUUUACAAAUAUCUUGAGAUAGAUAGGUCAAUCGGCCGAAGGAGUAGAAAAGGGGCAAUCUUCUAGUCCCAUGAUUCAAAAAUUCCUUUGAGCCUCUCAAUAUGAUCUAC